AACGUAGGAGACAAACGUUAUCCGGAGUUACUGGGCGUAAAGGGCUCGUAGGCGGCUUGUCGCGUCGACUGUGAAAUCCCGCGGCUCAACUGCGGGUCUGCAGUCGAUACGGGCAGGCUAGAGUUCGGUAGGGGAGACUGGAAUUCCUGGUGUAGCGGUGAAAUGUGCAGAUAUCAGGAGGAACACCGGUGGCGAAGGCGGGUCUCUGGGCCGAUACUGACGCUGAGGAGCGAAAGCGUGGGGAGCGAACAGG
rnacentral:rRNA from 1 species